UACGGGGGGGGCAAGCGUUGUUCGGAAUUACUGGGCGUAAAGGGCGCGUAGGCGGCCACCGCAAGUCGGUUGUGAAAUCUCUGGGCUUAACCCAGAAAGGUCAACCGAUACUGCGGGGCUAGAGUGCAGAAGGGGCAACUGGAAUUCUCGGUGUAGCGGUGAAAUGCGUAGAUAUCGAGAGGAACACCUGCGGCGAAGGCGGGUUGCUGGGCUGGCACUGACGCUGAGGAGCGAAAGCGUGGGGAGCGAACAGG
rnacentral:rRNA from 1 species